rnacentral:rRNA from 1 species
AUUGAACGCUGGCGGAAUGCUUUACACAUGCAAGUCGAACGGCAGCACGGACUUCGGUCUGGUGGCGAGUGGCGAACGGGUGAGUAAUGUAUCGGAACGUGCCCAGUCGUGGGGGAUAACGUAGUGAAAAUUACGCUAAUACCGCAUACGAUCUAUGGAUGAAAGCGGGGGAUCGCAAGAUCUCGCGCGAUUGGACCGGCCGAUAUCAGAUUAGGUAGGCGGUGGGGUAAAGGCCCACCAAGCCAACGAUCUGUAGAUGGUCUGAGAGGACGACCAGCCACACUGGAACUGAGACACGGUCCAGACUCCUACGGGAGGCAGCAGUGGGGAAUUUUGGACAAUGGGCGAAAGCCUGAUCCAGCCAUUCCGCGUGCAGGAUGAAGGCCCUCGGGUUGUAAACUGCUUUUGUACAGAACGAAAAGGUUUCUACUAAUACUAGGAGCUCAUGACGGUACUGUAAGAAUAAGCACCGGCUAACUACGUGCCAGCAGCCGCCGCCG